GACGAACGCUGGCGGCGUGCUUAACACAUGCAAGUCGAGCGGUGAAGCUCGGUCCUUGUAGCAAGGGGAUGAGGAGAGAAGGGGUGAGUAACGAGAGGGGAAUACGCCUUACACUGGGGGAAAACAUGCGGAAACGAAUGAUAAUACGACAUAAAAAUUUUAAACAUAAGCAUUAUGUGUGAAAGAUGCAAAUUCAUUACUCAAAGAAGAUCCUGCGUUGUAUUAGUGAGUUGGUGAGGUAAAGGGUCACCAAGGCGAGGAUACAUAGCCGACCUGAGAGGGUGAGCGGCCACAUUGAGACUGAGACAGGGCCCAAACUCAUUCGGGCGGCAGCAGUAGGGGAUCUUCAGCAAUGGACGGGAGUCUGACCGAUCAACGCCGCGUGAGUGAAGAAUGUUUUCGUGUCGUAAAUCACUGUUGGUAGAGAAGAACGUUGGUGAGAGUGGAAAGCUCAUCAAGUGACGGUAACUACCCAAGAAGCGACGGCUAACUACGUG
rnacentral:rRNA from 1 species